UACAUGGGGUGCAAACGUUGCUCGGAAUUAUUGGGCGUAAAGCGCACGUAGGCGGUUCGUUAGGUCAGAUGUGAAAUCCCCGGGCUCAACCUGGGAACUGCAUUCGAAACUGGCAGGCUAGAGUCUUGUAGAGGGGGGUAGAAUUCCAGGUGUAGCGGUGAAAUGCGUAGAGAUCUGGAGGAAUACCGGUGGCGAAGGCGGCCCCCUGGACAAAGACUGACGCUCAGGUGCGAAAGCGUGGGGAGCAAACAGG
rnacentral:rRNA from 1 species